rnacentral:rRNA from 1 species
UACAGAGGUCUCAAGCGUUGUUCGGAUUCAUUGGGCGUAAAGGGUGCGUAGGCGGCGCGGUAAGUCGGGGUGUGAAAUCUCGGAGCUUUAACUCCGAAAACUGCAUUCGAUACUGCCGCGCUUGAGGACUGGAGAGGAGACUGGAAUUUACGGUGUAGCGGUGAAAUGCGUAGAUAUCAGGAGGAACACCGGUGGCGAAAGGCGCCACUCUGGGGCCCGAAAACUGACGCUGAGGGAGCGAAAAGCGUGGGUAGCAAACAGG